AGAGCGAACGCUGGCGGCAGGCCUAAUACAUGCAAGUCGAACGCACCUUCGGGUGAGUGGCGGACGGGUGAGUAACACGUGGGAACGUGCCCUUUGGUUCGGAAUAAUCCGGGGAAACCUGGCCUAAUACCGGAUGUGCCCUUCGGGGGAAAGAUUUAUCGCCAUUGGAGCGGCCCGCGUCUGAUUAGCUUGUUGGUGGGGUAAUGGCCCACCAAGGCUACGAUCAGUAGCUGGUCUGAGAGGAUGAUCAGCCACACUGGGACUGAGACACGGCCCAGACUCCUACGGGAGGCAGCAGUGGGGAAUUUUGCGCAAUGGGGGAAACCCUGACGCAGCAACGCCGCGUGGAGGAUGAAGUCCCUUGGGACGUAAACUCCUUUCGAUCGGGACGAUAAUGACGGUACCGAGAGAAGAAGCCCCGGCUAACUUCGUGCCAGCAGCCGC
rnacentral:rRNA from 1 species